rnacentral:rRNA from 1 species
AGUGAACGCUGGCGGUAGGCCUAACACAUGCAAGUCGAACGGCAGCACAGUAAGAGCUUGCUCUUACGGGUGGCGAGUGGCGGACGGGUGAGGAAUACAUCGGAAUCUACUUUUUCGUGGGGGAUUACGUAGGGAAACUUACGCUAAUACCGCAUACGACCUACGGGUGAAAGCAGGGGAUCUUCGGACCUUGCGCGAUUGCAUGAGCCGAUGUCGGAUUAGCUAGUUUGCGGGGUAAAGGCCCACCAAGGUGACGAUCCGUAGCUGUUCUGAGAGGAUGAUCAGCCACACUGGGACUGGGACACGGUCCAGACUCCUACGGGAGGCAGCAGUUGGGAAUAUUGGACAAUGGGCGCAAGCCUGAUCCAGCCAUACCGCGUGGGUGAAGAAGACCUUCGGGUUGUAAAGCCCUUUUGUUGGGAAAGAAAAGCAGCAGGUUAAUACCCCGCUGUUCUGACGGUACCCAAAGAAUAAGCACCGGCUAACUUCGUG